CAUCAAAACCUUUAUUCUUUAUCACAGGGCAUCAAAUGAGUGAAGCUGAACUUACUUCCUUUCCUGAGAUGUUGGCAAGAAUCCCGGUACCAAAGGACAAUGUCAACUUUGAAAAAUUUGUUACAAUUACCAUAUAAUCCAGAGGAUCAGCUGAGACAUUACAAACCAGGUCAAAUCUGGAACCUGCAAAUCACAAAUAAUGAUAUUGGUGAACAUAUCCAGCACACCUUCCUCCUUCUAUUACUUAUUUGAAGACACCAAAUAUGGAAAGAUGGAUAACAUAUGGGAGAAUAAGAAGGAUACUGGGAAAGAAAUGAAAACUAAAGAACAUGAAACAUGUUUGACCAAAGAAGAAAAAGAAGUCAGUGCCUUUAUAUCAGCAUUGCAAAGACUUGAAAGCAUAUUUGAGGUUCAUGUUGGAACUCCUCUUAAAAACUGUUAAUUGAAGCCAAGCAAUCUGGCUUCUAAAUAAUGUUAAAGAUUAUUAUUUUAUAACAGAAAUAAAGUUUGGAAUUACAAUCAAUACAAUAUUGCCUGAAAAAUACAUCAAAGAUGAAGUGUCAGUAUGAUAAAAAGAGGGCCAACAGAUUCUUGACAUGACUUGCAGACAACUUGAUCAUAUAAAAGGUGGAGGAGAAAAUUAGAUAAUCAGCUACAGUGGACUUA